rnacentral:rRNA from 1 species
CCUACGGGUGGCUGCAGUGGGGAAUAUUGCACAAUGGGCGCAAGCCUGAUGCAGCCAUGCCGCGUGUGUGAAGAAGGCCUUCGGGUUGUAAAGCACUUUCAGCGGGGAGGAAGGCGGUGAGGUUAAUAACCUCAUCGAUUGACGUUACCCGCAGAAGAAGCACCGGCUAACUCCGUGCCAGCAGCCGCGGUAAUACGGAGGGUGCAAGCGUUAAUCGGAAUUACUGGGCGUAAAGCGCACGCAGGCGGUCUGUCAAGUCGGAUGUGAAAUCCCCGGGCUCAACCUGGGAACUGCAUUCGAAACUGGCAGGCUAGAGUCUUGUAGAGGGGGGUAGAAUCCCAGGUGUAGCGGUGAAAUGCGUAGAGAUCUGGAGGAAUACCGGUGGCGAAGGCGGCCCCCUGGACAAAGACUGACGCUCAGGUGCGAAAGCGUGGGAGCAAACAGGAUUAGAUACCCUUGUAGUC